GUAUUGAUUGCGUGUGACCGCAAAAACAAAACAUUCUAGACUGUAUCGAAUUUUGUGUGAAAACGUGAGCCCUCCUGCAAAGGGGGGACCCGCGCGGUGAUGCACAAAGGGGUGAGAUGGAUUUUGUGCGAGAGCGCUCGGGCGUGCACGACCUUUGAAGGUCAGCGACAACCCCAGCACCUCCAUUGUAUGAUAAUGAUCCUUCCGCAGGUUCACCUACGGAAA
rnacentral:misc_RNA from 1 species